CCUAGCAAAACAGCUGUGACAGCAGUCAAGAAAACUUGAAUAGCCCACAUUUGAGAGAAGGACCCCUGCUCGGCCAUGGAGAACACCUCAAACACACAAUGUCAGAAAAGGGUGUUACUGAACUCAGGUCCAGCUGCUCACCACUCAGAAACCAAGACUUGGGAGAGACAAUUGUGAUAGAAAGGAAAGUUGCUUUUAACCAGAAUGCCGGCAGUCCGGGGCGACAGUGAACUCAGUGUCUGCAAAAACCAACUCCGAAGUUUCUGUUCAGCCAUGAAAGUUUUAAAGGGAAAAAGGGGAUAUUUUAAAGGGAAAAAUCUCAGUUAAUCACCGAGACAAGAGAUCAGAUUUGUCACCAUCCUCCCUUCCUUUAGGGGUCCUGUUAGACAGAUUACCUCACUAGUGCUGACUGAGUAAUUCCUGAUUGACUGGUUUAAGAUUCCAUUCCUGAGAGAGGCUGAAACUGUAAUUAAGUGAGGUAUUAAGUCUUGGUUUAAUGAUAUGGGACAUAGCAAAAGUGACUCCAUUUUGGGUGUUUUGUCUCUUUUUUAACACUACUGAUCAAUUUCUUCCAGUCCACAUUCUGUCUGCUAGUACACAUGGAACCCUUCAGUAGUUUGUCUGUGUGUGUGUGUGUGUGUGUGUGUGUAGUUUGCAGCUGUUUUGGGGUUGUUGGAAUCAGUAUAUAGUAGAUGGGGAAAGUAUUAAAGUUAUGCAAUUUGUAUACAGAAAUGAUAAUAUUUUCCGGGCUUCCAGGAAGAAAUACAUAGCUAUCCUUUUGAGGUUUAUUUUACGUUCAGAGAAAAUUUGAAACUAAUCAAAGUAAAUAGCCUGUGUCCACUUCCCAUCACAAACCACUAGACUGAAAUGGUAUGAAAAUAACAAGAUAUCAUUUACUCUUUCUUUUUGGGUACCAGGAACAUCUUACAGAGAAUUUGGGUAAAUUGUGCUCUUUCCAAAAAAAUAAAAACAAAAAAAAACCAUGAAAAAAUUGAUUGAUAAGUUAAAAUUUAUUGAUAACCUAUUCUGAGCUAGGAGUUACAAAGUAUUCAAAAUAAGUCAUAGAUCCUGCCCUCAGUGGACUUAACCAUCAUUGAGAAGAUACACAGAAACAUCAAAGUGUGAGUCCCAACAUGAAGCAUUUGCUAAGUACUAAAGAAGUGGUGUAGACCAGAGUUUGGCAAUUUUUUUCUGUAAAGAACAGAUAGUAAUUAUAUUAGGCGUGCAUUUCAUAUGGUCAUUGGGCUUGCUCCACUACUCAGGUCUGCCCUUGCAGAGAGAAAGCAGCUCCAGACAGCACAUAAAUGAAUGGGCGGGAUUGUGUUCCAAUAAAACCGUAUUUACGAAAAUAGAUGGCAGGCUGAAUUUGGAAGGAGGACCAUGGUUUGUUGAGCUCUGGUUUAGACAGUAAGUAGUGUGCAUAUUUAGAGAAUUGAGAGAGUUUAACAGUGGGUAGAAAGGGAAGUCUUCGUGCAGUAGGAGGAGAUUGAAGACUAAGCAGGAAUUAGGUAGAGAGGUGAUCUUCUGGGUGGGAACACACUGUGAAUGAAAGCUAUAAUUGCAAGGCUUUGUGAGCGAAUGGGUGGGAGUAAAAUUAGAAAAAAUGGGCUUCUCCGUGAAAGCACCCCAAGAGGGAAGGACAUUUGCACUUCUGACAAGCACUUGCUGAGAGAUUAAAUACACAAUUUAGGUCCUGAGAUGCAUAUUCCUAAAGCCUUGGGGCCCAGUUCAGUUCCUUUUGCCCUUCCACCACGCUGCUUUUCUAGCCUAUCUCUUUCUGCAGGAUUGGCAUUUCCAGCCCCAGGGCACAGAGAUGUCAGCCUACAGGAAGAAUGAAAUUUGCUGUUGAGUACUGGGGGGAGUCACUUUGUGAUGAUUUCUCUGUAUGGUCAAGAGCAGCACACCAAUCAAGUGACGGAGGUACUUCUGAAUGUCUGUGUCUCUGGUGACAAGAGCUCUCAGUUUAAGCAAACCCUUAUGUCAAAGGGUGGCAUUUCUUAAAAUGUAUUAAUCAGAAGACUAGUCUGGCCAGAUGAUUCCAGAAAAAGGGGGUUCUAUAGUAUAAACGAUGCUUUCUUUUGGAGGUUGACCAGGUACGUUGGUAAAUUAAAGGGCAUGAGAAAAUCUGUUGCAAAGAAAUCUGUUUAACUCGUAUAACCAUAAAUUUCCCAAACACUUGACCACAGAACCGUUUCCCAUGGAGCAUCUGUGACCAUCUCGUGGCACCUGUUUCGAAAAACAAUGCUUUAAGGGAACUGAUGUGAAUAUAAAUAUUGCUAACAGGUACUAGUUGUGGCUUCAAGUUAACAUGAAAGACAAAGUAGGGGAGAGAGAAUAUAAAAUAAUUCAGAUAACUCAAGCAUGGAUUGGAAUACAACCUUCUUAUUUGUUGCAUCCAUUUGAAUUCUGUUUGCCCCAACCUACCCCCAGCGUUCUAGUUUCAGGUGAACAGGAGUACUAGAGUGCUGAGAUAGGAAAGCAAAAAAUGGGGAGCAGGACAUUUAAAUUUAUUUUCUUCUUCUUUUUUCUUGUUGUUGAUGUUAAACUUCUGGCUUUGUCCCCUUCUUCCAAGUCCUUCUGGAGACUUUGACUGAAAGCAUGAAAAUGAUUGUCAUCUGGAGCUAUUCACGGCAGGCAGAACUGAGCUUAGAGGGAAAACAAAUGUAUAAUUAGCAAGCACGUAAACAUCCCCAUCCAAGCCCAACUCUCCUUCUCUGUAGGGCAGACGAAGAGAUGUGCAGAGGAGCGAGGCAACCCAGAGUCUCACUGAAGUAUCUGGAGGAUUCAACUGGGAAAUUCUGUGCAAUUUGCUGCAAACAAGUCAGACAUUAUAAUCUAAUUAAGUCUAACCCUAUGUUGAAGAGGCUCUACUUAGCAUUUCAUAGCAUUUCCUUUUCCUUCUCUAUUUUCAUUUCUUUUAUGUGCUUCUGAAACAUCCUUCUUAAUUUUUAUGCACUGUCCUGCUGUCUGGUUUUGUCAGCUCCUUCACUUGGCACGUAAGGAUCUACUGUGUAACAAGUAUCAGCGAGUCAAUGAAGACUUCGACAUGAUCCUCACUGUUGAGAGGCUGAUAUUCAAUAUGGCCAGAGAGACACAGAGAUCAGUGAUGACUUCCACUGGGCUCAUCAAACUUGAAACCCUGAAGUCAGCUUCCACUCCUUUCCUGUCCUCACCCUCACAAGAGCGGUCAGCAAGUCCUGAAGAUUCUCUCCGUGCCCUCGCCGUUGCCUUAUUUCAGGCUUGUACCAUCUCUCAGCUGAUGACUGCGACAGCCGCCUACCUAGAUCCCCUGACACACCAGUUACCUUCAAUGCCAGUUACCUUCAAACAGGAAGAACUUAGCUGAUCUCACUGAGAGUUCUCAGCUGAUUUGCUUCUGCCUACGGGAGCUGGCCUAAUUUCAUUUACAGAGACUUCUGCCUUAUGAGGCUGUGAAUUUGUUGAAGGCGAGGGCUCUGCCUUGCUCAUUUUUUUUUUCUUACUGAAGCACAGUCAGUUACAACGUGUCAAUUUCUGGUGUACAGCAUAAUAUUUCAGUCAUGUAUACCUACAUGUAUUCGUUUCCAUAUUUUUUUUUAUCCUGUUCAUUUUUUUUUGUCUCAGUGUUUUAUGAAGUUCUUUGCAAGCAACUUGUGCUAUGUGUAGCUGAACGUUGACAGGGCACUAGUGAGGUGCUAAGAGCACAUGUUUUAGACUCAGAUCUAGGUUUAACUUCUGCUUCCUCUGCUACUUUGUUACUAAGUGACCCUGGGCAGAUGAACUUUAAGACAGUGAUUCUCAACUCUAGCAUCUCAUUAGAGUUACGCAAGGGAUUUAUUAAAAGGGCCCAGACCCACUCUUCACCCCAAUUAAAUUAGAAUAAAUGGAGGGUGAGGCUCAUGCACUAGAAAUUUUAAUAGACCCACAGGUGGUUUAAUAGAUCCACAGGUUAAUAUGCAGCUAGGGUUGUGAAUCACUGCCCUUGGCUUUCAUUUCUCAUCCACUAUAUGGGAUCUACUUUAAAGAGGUUGUGAGCAUGUGAAAUGAAAGGAAUUUAGCAUAAUGUCUGGCAUCUAGUAAGUCAUGAAGUUAAUACAAAACCUCAAUUUGUAAACUUCCUCUUCUCAAUUGCUAGCCACUGGGUGCUUUGCCUUCCUUUCAAUGCCUGGAACAUAUCAAACUUUUUUGCUUGUAAUGCCUUUGUAUUUGCAAUUCACCCUGCUCUUAGCAGAUCCCUCUUUAUCUUCAAGUCACACCUGAAGUCAUGCAUGGUCUCCAGGGAUUCUCCUUUAGUCUACAUCACAGUACGCAGAUGUUCAUCAUCUUCGUAGCACUUGUCUCAAUUUGAAAUUAGGUAUUAAUUUAACUCAGUACUGUCUGUUUCCCCAACUAUACUGCAAGCUUCACAAAGGCAGGGACCUCGUCUGUUUUGCUUUCCUCCUGAGGUCUGGCACCAAGUCCCUGGGAUGUGCCAGAUGUUCAGGAGAUAGUUGUUGAGGGAUGAAUGGAUUAAUAAUUGAUCCAUCCCAUGAUCUCAAAAAGGCAAAAAUCCUUGACUUUUUCUAUCCCACGACUCUAUGCAUUCCCACAUUAAAACACCACAACCAAAACCCAAACUAGUCCUAGAAAUGACAGCCUCUAGUGUUUUGGGUUCUAGCUAUUGACUAGAAAAACCGCAAUCCUUUUUUUGGGGGGGAUGUUUUUAAUUUGGGUAAGGCUUCCAAGUCCAAGGUUCUUAGAGGCUUAUUCAUCAACCCUUGGGCAAUAAUUAAUGUUAGUCUAACAAUAUCUUGCUUCAACUUUUGUGGCAAAUAAACUUUUGUGGCAAAUAAACUUUUGUGGGUGUUUGUGUUAGCUAAAUAAAGAGGUUUUUGUUUUCAAGUUUACCUUUUGUUCCAUCCAGUUGGGAAACCAAACAACAUGUAAGGUUAAUAGACGAAAUUUUUCUCUCAAGUCACAGAAUUAUCAAAUUAUUGAUACUUUGGCCUAUGAAAAGGACCUCAGAAAUAAACUAGACCAAUCCCCCAUUUUACAAAUGACAAAAAAGCCUAGAAAUAUGAAUUUAUUGGACAUGUUUAUGCACUUGCUGUCACAGUAUCAGGUUUCAAGAAUCCUUGAUCAGUGUCCUGUCAGCCAUGUUACACCAACUUCAAAUUAACCCAAAGUUAUUCUGAUUUUUCAGAGUUCAUAAUUUAUAUUCUGGCAUAAAGUAAUUUGAGAUUUUGGUAUUUCUGUAAUAAAAAGUACCUAUUCCAAAUUCAUGAGCAUGACAUUAAUAUCUAAUGUCUCAAAUAUCUGUCCACACUCCAGGCUCUACCAUCUAUUUCAUAUUUUUCCAACUCUGAGCUCUUCAAACUUUAUUGGAAGAAGACAGUGGUUCUCUGUAUUUCUCCUAAGGAAUUUGUAUUUUGCCUUAUGCUGCAGUAGGGAAUGACUGUAUUGGAUGUAAGAACCUUAGGAGCUGGUGUCACCUGGUCCCUGCUUUUUAGGUCUUGUCUCUCCUUGCAAUCAAUAAAUAUUUAAACCAAAACAAAGAUCUUUCCAGAUUAGAAAUUUUCCAUAAGGAUUUUCUUGGUGGCAAUUUUUAAGUGUUUGAAAAAGCUAGGUAGAGAACGCAUGGCUUGGGUGAACAGGACUUAUGUUGCUUUAACGUGAGCAUGACGUCAGGACAUUCUGCAAAAAUUGUCUCUUUUCUGGAUGCUUUCCUCCUUUUUAAAGUUCCUCAUCCAUUCAGUACAAUACACCCACAGCUUUUUUCUUCUAACUGUAGUGAAAAAACCUAUAGGAGGCAGAUUUAAGAGCUAUAAAAAACACCAGAGAAGAC